UACAGAGGGGGCAAGCGUUAUUCGGAAUUAUUGGGCGUAAAGGGCGCGUAGGCGGCUUUGCAAGUGACGGGUGAAAUCCCUCGGCUUAACCGAGGAACUGCCUGUCAAACUGCAUGGCUUGAGACCGGGAGAGGUGAGUGGAAUUCCCAGUGUAGCGGUGAAAUGCGUAGAUAUCAGGAGGAAUACCGAUGGCGAAGGCAGGUCUCUGGGCUGACACUGACGCUCAUGCACGAAAGCGUGGGGAGCAAACAGG
rnacentral:rRNA from 1 species